rnacentral:rRNA from 1 species
UACGGGGGGAGCAAGCGUUGUUCGGAUUUACUGGGCGUAAAGGGCGCGUAGGCGGUCAGCACAAGUCAGUUGUGAAAUCUCCGGGCUUAACUCGGAAAGGUCAACUGAUACUGUGCGACUAGAGUGCGGAAGGGGCAACUGGAAUUCUUGGUGUAGCGGUGAAAUGCGUAGAGAUCGGGAGGAAUACCGGUGGCGAAAGCGACUCUCUGGACGGCAACUGACGCUGAGGCACGAAAGCGUGGGGAGCAAACAGG